ACAGUCACACAUUAGAUACCCCUGUAGUCCAGGGUGUAAACGCUGCGGGCUUGGUGUUGGGGGUCCUUAGUGGGCGCCCAGUGCCGGAGAGAAGUUGUUAAGCCUGCUGCUUGGGAGUAUGUCCGCAAGGAUGAAACUUAAAGGAAUUGGCGGGGAGCACCGCAACGGGAGGAGCGUGCGGUUCAAUUGGAUUCAACGCCGAAAAACUCACCAGGAGCGACGGAUAUAUGAAGGUCAAGCUGAUGACUUUACCUGAUUUUCCG
rnacentral:rRNA from 1 species